ACCGAUCUAUAUCACAUUUAAAGAAAAAGAAAGCAAGGGGGAAAGAAAGAGAGGAUAAGAUGUUACACCAAAGCGGCUGGAAAUGAAUCGUAUUCGUCAUAUAUGGUAUCGCUGCGCAUGUGCUGUGUCUGAACAUGUAGCUUGUCGGGAGCCGUAGAUUAGAAGAAUUAUUGGUUGAAAAUCCACCGCAUCACUUUUGGAUCAGUUCAAUCAGUGACACAUUUAUAAACCAAAGAAAAAAAAGAA
rnacentral:lncRNA from 1 species